rnacentral:lncRNA from 1 species
GAGUUUAGCCAAGAAUGGGAGGAGAAACAUUGGACAAUACCAAGCGGAAAUGAGCUGAUCACAUCAAUGUAGAUCCACCUAAAUAAGACAACUCAAAAGAACUGUCUAACUAUCCACAAAGGAAAAAGCAAAAGAAUGAAGAAUAUCUGUUGUCCAGAUUAUGAUAUAUAGUAUAAUGUGUGACCCAGAAAGUUGGACAACAUACUUAGACAGACAUCAAAGGUUAUACCACACUACAUUUGAGCUGUGACCAGGAUAAAGUUGCUGAAAACUAUGUUCUCCAUAAUCCAGGACCACAAUAGGACUCUCAACUUGUAUUUUCCCAUCAUCUCGCUGGCUGGCUCCCGUAUCCACGUGAAGACAGAUAAGUCAUUUGGAACCAUGCAUCCUCACCUUCAACUGGACAAUUUUUGGAUCUUCUCUCUCCAACCACAGUUGUCAUCAAAUCAGCACAUCUAUAGCAUCUGGAAAGGGUGUGUCUUUUUUUUUUUUUUUGCUGAUCUCGGCAAUACAAGGAUCUAAGACAAUUCAAAAGGACCCAUAACUGAAAAAUGUUAUCCACCUCCAGGGAAAGAAUUGAUGGGGCAUGAAUAUGGAUAGAAGCAUACUAUUUUUCAAUUUAUUUUCUUCUUAGCUUUUUGUAUCUUUGUUGUUAUAUGAGUAUUUUUGCACAUAUGACAUGGAAAUGUAUUUUAUAAUGGUCACACAUGUGUAACCUAGAUUGUUUACCAUCCCAGUGAAAGGGGGGGAAAGGAAGGGAAGGAGAGACUUUGGAUCUAAAAAUUUUAGAAAACAAAUAUUAAAAAUUGUUAUUACAUAUAAUUAGGAAAAAAUAAAAUAUUAUGCAAAAAAAGAAAAGGUAUGCCA